AAGAACUUGCCUAAUUAGUGACACAACCUGGUUAAUAGGAUAAUCUGGCAGGACACACAUCAAUUUCUCUCUCAGUUUAGGAGGACCAUCCUAAGAGUAGGGUUCACUGUUAAAGGCAAGAGAGAAAGAU
ensembl:scaRNA